UAUUGUAGUCUGUUGUUGUAAACAUCCCCGACUGGAAGCUGUAAGAGAAAUUCUAGCUUUCAGUCAGAUGUUUGCUGCAUCCGGCUAUUCAUGG
ensembl:miRNA